rnacentral:rRNA from 1 species
UACGGAGGGUGCAAGCGUUAUCCGGAUUUACUGGGUUUAAAGGGUGCGCAGGCGGUUGUUUAAGUCAAUAGUGAAAUCCUAAUGCUCAACAUUAGAACUGCUAUUGAUACUAAACAACUAGAGUAGUGGUAAGGUAAGUGUAAUUUAUAAUGUAGCGGUGAAAUGCAUAGAUAUUAUAAGGAAGACCAAUAGCGAAGGCAACUUACUGACCAACUACUGACGCUCAGGCACGAAAGCGUGGGUAGCAAACAGG